rnacentral:lncRNA from 1 species
UUUUUGUUUCUUGCGAUUUAUCUAUCAAUUUGAUUGUUUUUAAGUUGCCAGAAAUGUUGGGCUUCUCUACGAUCUACAAGUUGGUGAUGUGAGAAAUUAGGAAAGAUAAUGGAGUCAUUGUUUGGUGUUGGAUAAUAUUUUAACCAGCUUUUCAUGAGAGGAACCGAACUGUUUGACUGCUCUGUGUCAUGCUUUAGAGUCUACGUCGCAUGGAAUGCGACUCUGAUGCGGCAAAAUAUUAGAACA